rnacentral:rRNA from 1 species
CCUACGGGAGACAGCAGUGAGGAAUAUUGGUCAAUGGACGAGAGUCUGAACCAGCCAAGUAGCGUGAAGGAUGACUGCCCUAUGGGUUGUAAACUUCUUUUAUAUGGGAAUAAAAUGUUCCACGUGUGGGAUUUUGUAUGUACCAUAUGAAUAAGGAUCGGCUAACUCCGUGCCAGCAGCCGCGGUAAUACGGAGGAUCCGAGCGUUAUCCGGAUUUAUUGGGUUUAAAGGGAGCGUAGGUGGAUUGUUAAGUCAGUUGUGAAAGUUUGCGGCUCAACCGUAAAAUUGCAGUUGAAACUGGCAGUCUUGAGUACAGUAGAGGUGGGCGGAAUUCGUGGUGUAGCGGUGAAAUUCUUAGAUAUCACGAAGAACUCCGAUUGCGAAGGCAGUUCACUGGACUGCAACUGACACUGAGGCUCGAAAGUGUGGGUAUCAAACAGGAUUAGAUACCCGGGUAGUC